GUCCUUAGUGGCAGACGGGAUAGUAACGCAUGGGAAUUUGCCCAAUAGUACGGAAUAACUGUGGGAAACUGCAGCUAAUACCGUAUACGCCCUUCGGGGGAAAGAUUUAUCGGAGAAGGAUCGGCCCGCGUUGGAUUAGGUAGUUGGUGGGGUAAUGGCCUACCAAGCCGACGAUCCAUAGCUGGUUUGAGAGGAUGAUCAGCCACACUGGGACUGAGACACGGCCCAGACUCC
rnacentral:rRNA from 1 species